UGACACUGAUUUAAUCACAGAGUGUCCUGAUGAGUGGCUUCUUCAAAUUGCAUGUGGCAUCAAGACUAUUGUGCUUGUACCGGUUCUUCCACUAGGGGUUUUGCAGUUUGGUUCAUUUGAAGAGGUACGUAUAUAUAGUAUUUGAAUCCUGACCCAGACAGGCUGUGGCUUUUACAAUUAAAAUGGUACCCUAAUGCAUGCAUAUUUAUUACUCUUGUCUACAAAUUCUUACAAUCUUGUCCCCCACCAUAAAUUUUGGAUUUCUGUUUUGAAAAAAGAUCUUGAAUUUUGUAUUUGAUUCCUCCUUUAAAGUGGUGAACUUUAGAUGAUAAAAUAUGUUGAGCUAUAACAGUGGAUUUUGGUCUAUUUCACCCAUUUUGCAUAUCUGCUAUGGCUCCUUUUGAGGUGUUUCCUUCUGCACCCUGU